UCCAGGGUAGCCUAGUGGACAUGGCAUCUGCCCGGUAAGCGGAAGGUUGUGGGUUCGAUUCCCGCCCAUGGAC
rnacentral:tRNA from 1 species